UAACGUCAACAUAGGCCGAGUUGGGAGUGAGAAUGUGUUGGUCCAAACGUUGAAUUUAUUGUCUGGUAAUGCUUUUGGAUAACCUUUGCAUUCUUUCCUGUAAACCAAAACACAGAUGGAGUGUUGACUGCAGCUGGAUGACAGCGCUUAGCUCCAAAUAUGCUAUUUCUUUCUACAAACAGCUGGAGAAAUGUUACUCAUGGUUUGUAUUUAAACCAUAUGUUUGUAAAGCUAUAUUUAAAAAAUACCAUCAGAGUUGUAUUGUUUGUAACAAGUGGGUGUUCUUUUGGGUUAAAGCAAUGUGUUUAAAGAACUAUAAACAAGCUUGUAUUUAUUUUCAGGAGGCCAGGGUGUAAUAUAUCCUGUGUGACUUAAAUCAAUGCAAUAACCUUGUAACCUAGACGAUAACACUCAUUUUCUGCUGCUCUUGUUUCUUGCUUUUGAAUUUCUCUUAUGCAUCCUGAUGCAAUACGAGACCUCAACAUUGGGAACAAAGGGUCCCCUGGAUCUAUUGGAAGCAUAGGAGCCAGCCAUGGGGCCUCCAAGGGCCUCCAAGGGCCUCCAAGGAUGGGACAUGGACGAUGAAGGCCCUGCAAACCGGAAUCUAAAAUCGUCACCCACACACACUUUUGGGAGAUACAAUUCACUUUGAAAUCUGCGUGAUAAAUGAACUGAGCCCUCAGCAUCAACAAAUUAAGAUAAUCAUGAACUUGGAGGGUAUCGUUGAGGCCACAGGUGAGUAAUCAAUAAUAGUAGAAGUCAAAGCCAGGUAAAGCGGAUAUCAUCAGAUUAUUAAUUACAUAUGAACUUUAAGGGUCCCCCAACAGAUGUUUCUAUUCACCCCAGUGGUUUAUAGCAACAUAGAAGUUUUGGUUUCAUUUAACGUAUUUUUGCUUCCGUGGAAGGCCGCAAGCAUAUUGUUAUCUUUUUGUUUUCCAGUGAAUAACAAAACAACCAUGGUGCUAAGUUUUGAUGGGUCUUUUAUGUCUCUAGUUGGACGAAGAUGUCCUGCAAAUCAGGAAUUGUUUAGCUGUUUAUUCACCAUUUAUCCUAAAUUGAUGCACUCAAGCAGCACUCUUAUUGUCAUUAGAGUUUAGUGUCCGUUAAGUUUCACACUUCGGAUCAUUGGCGUGCCACGCGUCACCUACUCUCUUCCUGUGUAGAUUUCAAAAUAGAUAAUGGUAUAACGGUUUCACUCAGUGUCAUAUUUAUAAAGGCAGAGACAUGUCUUCAAGGCCUGUUUUUUUUCCGCUGUACAGUGUAUGUAGCAAACACUACCCAAGCCAAAGGUUAAGAGUUGUGGUGAAUAAUAGUUUUUUUAAAUAUAUAUUUGAUGUGUCUCAUGGCAGAUGCUCAUUACUUAUUGCAAUAAGAUGUGCUGCCCUACAGUUGCACAUAAAUAACCAUCAAACAUACAAAUUAUCUUCAUCUUUAAAAAACCUGCUAGUUGAUAUCUUUGCAUCGCCACUGAGUGUGUGUUCGGCUCCUGCUCCAUCCAGAAAACACUGAGUCUGAGAUGGAGUUGAGAGAGUGUGCUCGGCACCUUAAAAUAAUGUUCAAUGUUGUUUUUAGCCGGUGUUCAGUGCCGUCAUUGAUGAGGCUUUUGUAAUUCACACACUGUUCUAAUUGGUAGUGAUAUUUAUUCAUGUUCAGAUUUCUUUUUUUAAUGGUAAAAGGUUGUGCUUUGUAUAAAUGGUGGCGGUCUAGUGUAUGAGGAGAUCUCCCCCUAUCUCUUGUUUGUUUACAACUGAUGUCCUUUUACUAAUUUACUUGAAUUUUCAUUUGGGGCAGUUGUGUCAUGCAUUCAAGCCUUUAUUGACAGAAGUUGUUCUAUUAAGCAGGUAUUUUUAAAGAAUCAUUUAUAUUUUUAUUUUUUUCUUACGGUAAAUUACUGACGGUCUUAGAAUCAUCCACAGGAGUAAAGUGAGCACUGUUUCCCUCCCCAUGCCAAUGAUCAUCUUUUUUUCCCCUCAUUACGUUUUGUCUUGAUCUUAAUCCCCUUUCCUUCUUGCAUGUCCAAUCACUGGGAUGGAGCCCAGAUUACCUUGUGUCAAUCACCUAGCUGACAACAAGAGCAGAGUCACUCCCAACUCCUUGCAAGGAUUCUACCUCAGCUGUUUAGACAGAUGUUUGGGAAUACUGAUGCAAAAAGAGAGGAUGGUAAUUUAAAGAGUAUCAUGGUUUUAAUGUCUGGCAGAGCUGGUGAGUGUGUGUGAGUCUGUGUGAGUGUGUGUGUCUGUAGGUGCCUCUGUUUGUCACUGUGUGUGUGUGAGUUUGCAAUGAAGGAUGGAAGCACUAGUCAAAACCUGAAGUUAUCAUGACCAUCUCUCCCAGAAUCUGUUAAGAAAGCUGUAUGUUAUAUAUACACAUAUAUAUAAAAAUAUAUAUAAAUAUAUAUAUAUAUAUAUAUAUAGAUAUAUAUAUAUAGUAGGGUUAUUUUAAAGUAAGUGUAAAAGACAUAAAAAAUAAGAAAAUAUGUGAUCUUUAAAUGUACGUCUUUGUUACCAUGUACAAAUAAACCCUGGGUUUGUAAAUAUUUGUAUACAUAUUUCUAAACCUGUUUAAUUUUUCUAUGCACUUUUUUAUUUAUAAUGUUAUUUGCUUAAUAAAGAUGUUAAGAUGUUUGAAUACAUUUCUAUUUUUUUAUUUGAAAAGGUUAAUGUAGAAAAAAGAAUGAUGAAAAGCAAUACACUGUUUUCAGAAUGUAUAAAGGCCACUGUUAGAAUAAAAAACAAAGAGUCUGA